rnacentral:rRNA from 1 species
AUGGGAAAUCCUGUUGAUGCUCCUAAACCAUAUCAGUGGAUAUGGAAAUCUUGCUCUCUCCCCAGGCAGAAAUUCUUCUUCUGGCUUCUGUUGCAAGAUAGAUUGAACACUAGAGAUCUGCUAAACAGGAAGAAUUUCUACAUAGAGACAAGUAAGUGUGAGUUAUGUGAUGAUGAACCUAAUGAACAUCUAAUGCACCUCUUUUUUAGCUGUGAUUUCAGCCAAAACUUCUGGAUGAACAUUGGCUACCAAUGGGACACUGAUUAUAACCUGAUGGAAAUGCUCUUGGAGGGUAGGAAACAAGAUACUUAUGGAUGUUUCAAAGAGUGCCUAAUUGCUGGUUGCUGGAGUCUAUGGAAGCAUAGAAAUAGCAUCAUUUUCGAUCACAAGGUCAAGAAUAUGGCAUACAGUCUAGCCAUGUUCAAGAAGCACUUCAGCAUGAUCAUAAAGAAGGCAAAACCUGGUUUGAAGGAGGGCAUGCAAAGCUAGAUAGAACAUUUGUAG